rnacentral:rRNA from 1 species
CCCUUAGAUGUUCUGGGCUGCACGCGCGCUACACUGACAUACUCAGCAAGUUUCCUUUCCCGAAAGGGUUGGGUAAUCUAGUUAGUGUAUGUCGUGAUGGGGAUAGAAUAUUGUAAUUAUUGCUCUUUAACGAGGAAUUCCUAGUAAGCGCAAGUCAACAGCUUGCGCUGAUUACGUCCCUGCCCUUUGUACACACCGCCCGUCGCUCCUACCGAUUGGGUGAUCCGGUGAAUGGUUCGGACUCUGGCUAUGCAGCUACUAGCUACGUCAGGGAAAGUUCUGUGAACCUUAUCACUUGGAGGAAGGAGAAGUCGUAACA